AACUUAUAAAUAAUAUUGUAAUAAGUACGGACAUUUUAUGUACCUUAGAACCUAUAGGCUAUAUUGUGUAAUAUAAAAUAUUAUUAAUAAUAUGACUAUAUAGUAUAUAGUCUAUAAGACGUGUAACAAUAUUCCGAUGUAUGUUGGACAUGUUAUUUUUAUGUACAAAUACUAUACCAAUUAUAUUGACAAUAAUAAUUGAAAUAAUGAAAUCUAUUAGUAGGUAACGGCGGGCAUAACAAUAUUAAAAUGUACGGACGGUACAUCGAUGUUCCGUGCAUUCAAGCCAUCGACUGACGGUUGUCACCACAAAUAUAUACAAUAUUCUAUAAUAUAGUAGUAUAUAUUUGUGGUUGUCACCAUUCGCCGUCAACCGACUCACCGAGCUGAUUCGAUCGAGAGCUACCCCUGUGAGCCGUGGCCUUGUCCCAGGCCACUGUGUUUAUUCGACGUUCGGACUUUCGGAGUGUAUAACAGUCUGUAGGGUAUUACACUAUUACUGUAUAUAGUACGUCUGUUCUAGGGUUGCGCCUGCUCUGCCGGCCUGGUGAUAUUUGCAGGGGGUGUGGAUCUCGCAGACGCGAAUUAAAACAUAUCCCAAGACUCCCAUGCACUAUGCACAGUAAUAAAAAUAAUUACUAUGCGCUCACGGGCUACGCGUUUACGCGAAAUCUGUCAUAAUCAAUAAUUAAAUAAUUUUAUAGUCUUUCGCACGAUUUAAGAUAUCUUAAAUAGUUAAAUCGUGGUCUUUCGUAAUGGCGUGUUCGUGGUUAAUAGUUAUAUAUAGUUAAUAGUUAUCAAUCUAUCGUCAUUCAUCGCUGGUAUAGUCACAGAAUAUAUAUGUGGUAAUGUGGUAUAGUUGGUGUCGUACCGCACGAUAUAUAAUUAAAUAAUUGUAUUAUUUAAAUAUUCAACAGUAACAGUAACAGUCAACACGAACGAGAGCGGUUUGUUUACGUCCGCCGCAAUCGAAUGAUAAUUAUUUUGAAAGGAAAUGCGAUCACAAUGUCAAUAAGGACUCUGUUCAUUGUCGGUGCGGCUCCGUUUAAGUUGUUGCUGCCACAUGUUUGUGUGACAGGUAUGCGGGUGGCCGGUGUUCUUCGCUCACGGGGGCGGAUUCGGUCCGACGUUAUCGCCUUAAUAAUAACGUCAUAUUAUACCGAUUUCGUUUCGUCCCGAUCUUUACUGUACCGAUGAAGUACGCGCGUGUCGUUGUCAAUACACGUACAAUAUUACAAUUUUAGUACUACUGAGUGAUUCAAUGAUGAAAACUCGAGUCCGUCUGUUGCUGCUCUUGUUCACUGGUGCUCUUACCUUCAGUUGUGUAGACAUGAUUUCUGAAAGAGGAGGGAUCUUAUCCCCACGUCCCCCCCCUUGUAUAUGCCACUGCUUAGUGGUUACCUUGUUCGUAGUCUUUUUUUGUCUUCGAUGAAAAUCCCAACAGCGUAGACAUCAAAGACAACAUGUAUUAUAGUCAAAAAUUUAAACCACAGACCCAUUAUAAGCCUGCAAAACAUACAUCUGCCGCAUGUAGAACAUACAUUACCCAAUCGAAGUGGAAUCAUUCCUAGAGAUGCAGUUUGGCAAAAAGUCCAAUCAACUAAAUACAAGUUUUUCAUUUAUUCAGCAUACUUGGAUACAAGAAUCAAAUCUGUCAGACCAUUGGUACAACCAAAACUCGAAAACCAGAUCCAGUUUGGUGAAGAUUAUGGUAUGAAAAAAAUUCUAAGACUGUUUCAGCAUUUGUGAAAGCAAUCCGGGAAAACUGGAAUCUAAAGUGCAGUGCGGUAUUUGUGCUGUGCAAAUUACCAUCAGACGGAAACCAUCCGUUAAGUGUAUCUAUUGUGUCUUAUAUUAAAGAUCCAAUUACAAAUGAAAUUCUGAUUCAAAUGCCAAAAUCAACUAGUCAACUCAAGACUGAUAUAGAAAUUUGUGUUAAGCCAUUUCAUUAUUAUUAUGAUAGAGCAAUACAACUUAUGGAAUUUGUAGAGUUAAACUUUUUGCUCGGGAUUGGACAUUUUACAUUUUAUAAAAACACAAUUGGGUCAAAUGUUAAAUGUGUUUUGGACGGUUACAUAAAAGACAAUUUGGUUUCUGUUUUACUUUGGCAGUUUGAUAUGGUAUUCAAGCAAGAAAACAGAGCUGAAUAAAUGUUUGCUGCGCUUAAUGAUUGCUUGUAUAGAAAUAUGUGGCAUUUUAGAAAUAGGAGUAAUUAUUGUUCCUAGACAAAAUGAUACAUUAAUCAAAUUAAUUAAUUGGUUAAACAUUUAUCAAACUCCAGCUGCUUAUCCAUUUCGUAAUGCAUUCUUCUACAUGCAAUGGGCUGAUGAUGACUCUUUACUUUUAGAUCAGAAUCCAUUUCAUUCAAAUCUUGUAGUUUUAUGUUAAACACAGCGUAAGACUAAAUUGCAUCCACAUAAACAAUGUUCAAAAUAUAUUUGUUAUCCACAACGAAUAGUAGAAGUUGGAAAUCAUUUUAUCUGUGAGUUUUUAAAUCCUGAUGAUGGGACAUCUUAUUUUACACCAGAACGUUCAAUACUUCAUCAUUGUAGGGUUUGUGAGUAUAGAGGAAAUGAUUGUGUAACUGCAGACUACAGUGGAUCGCACCAUGUACAGGUACAGAAAAAAAUUGGUCGCGCCAACGCGGUGUACUCUUAUUUGGUACAGACUAUAGACAAUAUUUUAAAUAUAAAAAAAUUAUUAUACUCUUAUAUCUUACUUGUAAAAAAAUAUAAGUGAAUAAAAAUAA